GGGGAUAUUGGACAAUGGGGGGAACCCUGAUCCAGCGACGCCGCGUGAGUGAAGAAGUAUCUCGGUAUGUAAAGCUCUAUCAGCAGGGAAGAAGAAAUGACGGUACCUGCGUCAGAAGCCCCGGCUAACUACGUGCCAGCAGCCGCGGUAAUACGUAGGGGGCAAGCGUUAUCCGGAAUUAUUGGGUGUAAAGGGUGCGUAGACGGGACAGCAAGUUAGUUGUGAAAGCCCUCGGCUUAACUGAGGAACUGCAACUAAAACUAUUGUUCUUGAGUGCAGGAGAGGAAAGCGGAAUUCCUAGUGUAGCGGUGAAAUGCGUAGAUAUUAGGAGGAACACCAGUGGCGAAGGCGGCUUUCUGGACUGUAACUGACGUUGAGGCACGAAAGUGUGGGGAGCAAACA
rnacentral:rRNA from 1 species